GAUGAAGAACGCAGCGAAAUGCGAUACUUGGUGUGAAUUGCAGAAUCCCGUGAACCAUCGAGUCUUUGAACGCAAGUUGCGCCCGAAGCCACUAGGCCGAGGGCACGCCUGCCUGGGCGUCACACGUCGUUGCCCCCCACCAUCUACUCCUUCGGGAUUGCGGGGGGCGGAUGAUGGCCUCCCGUGCGCCUAGCCGCGCGGUUGGCAUAAAUACCAAGUCCUCGGCGACGCACGCCACGACAAUCGGUGGUUGCGAAACCUCGGUUGCCCGUCGUGUGCGUUCGUCGCGCAUCGAGGGCUCGAAAAAAUGCUCGGCUCCGGCUCGGCUUUCAACGCGACCCCAGGUCAGGCGGGGUUACCCGCUGAAUUUAAGCAUAUCAAUAAGCGAGGA
rnacentral:misc_RNA from 1 species